CAUUUACCUGAGGAAGGUUACAACCUGUUUACUUUUUCUGUAAAUGACGUUCACAUUCCCUCAUCAGCUCCUGUUCUCUCUGAUCACGUGAUCGUGUGGAUGUUAAAGGGGUUUGAUUUGAACAUUAAGACUCCAUUCAGCAGCGAGCACCUCAUCAGGGCCUCACCUCCGCUUUGGCGUCACCAUGGUAACCGUGUCAGUCCUGUUCCUCCUGCUCUCAGGUAAAUAUCGACUUAAUGAUCUUUAUUAAAAUAUUUCAUAUGUAAUGAUUGGAGUAUAUGUUGAGAUGUGAAAAUCUUCAGGUAAAAGUUUGAUCAUUAUAAACAGUGUGUGUGAGUGUGUGAGUGUGUGUGAUGUGUGUGUGUGUGUGUGUGUGUGUGUGUGUGUUGUGUGUGUGUGUGUGUGCGUGUGUGUGUGUGUGAUGUGUGUGUG
ensembl:lncRNA